GAGGACGACGCUGGCGGCGUGCCUAACACAUGCAAGUCGAACGAGAUCCAUGGGAGCUUGCUCCCGGAAGAUCUAGUGGCGAACGGGUGAGUAACACGUGAGAAACCUGCCCUGGAGUGGGGAAUAACUCGGGGAAACUCGAGCUAAUACCGCAUACCCUCGGAUGGUCGCAUGGCCGACCGAGGAAAGAUUUAUCGCUCUAGGAGGGUCUCGCGGCCUAUCAGCUAGUUGGUGGGAUAACGGCCUACCAAGGCAACGACGGGUAGCUGGUUUGAGAGAACGAUCAGCCACACUGGGACUGAGACACGGCCCAGACUCCUACGGGAGGCAGCAGUGGGAAUCUUGCGCAAUGGGCGAAAGCCUGACGCAGCAACGCCGCGUGCGGGAUGACGGCCUUCGUGGUUGUAAACCGCUUUCAGCAGGGACGAAAAUGACGGUACCUGCAGAAGAAGCCCCGGCUAACUACGUG
rnacentral:rRNA from 1 species